CAAGUUUGGUGUUUAUGACGUCGAUAUUCGACGUCAUAAACACCAUCAAAUUUGGUGUUUAUGACGUCGUCAUAAACACGAUCAAAUUUGGUGUUUAUGACGUCGAUAUUCGACGUCAUAAACACGAUCAAAUUUGGUGUUUAUGACGUCGAUAUUCGACGUCAUAAACACGAUCAAAUUUG